GACGAACGCUGGCGGCGUGCUUAACACAUGCAAGUCGAACGGAAAGGCCCUGCUUUUGUGGGGUGCUCGAGUGGCGAACGGGUGAGUAACACGUGAGUAACCUGCCCUUGACUUUGGGAUAACUUCAGGAAACUGGCGCUAAUACCGGAUAGGAGCUCCUGCUGCAUGGUGGGGGUUGGAAAGUUUCGGCGGUUGGGGAUGGACUCGCGGCUUAUCAGCUUGUUGGUGGGGUAGUGGCUUACCAAGGCUUUGACGGGUAGCCGGCCUGAGAGGGUGACCGGCCACAUUGGGACUGAGAUACGGCCCAGACUCCUACGGGAGGCAGCAGUGGGGAAUAUUGCACAAUGGGCGGAAGCCUGAUGCAGCAACGCCGCGUGCGGGAUGACGGCCUUCGGGUUGUAAACCGCUUUCGCCUGUGACGAAGCGUGAGUGACGGUAAUGGGUAAAGAAGCACCGGCUAACUACGU
rnacentral:rRNA from 1 species